UUGAAAGACAACUGAUUAUCCCGCCCCUCGGACUGAGCACUGCGAACGGUCCCUAAACAAUGUGAGGACAACCCAGAGGGAGCGGGAGGAAGACUAUACUACGAUACUCUCUAUAUUGGAGACAUCGGUCCUUGAAUGUGAUACAACUGUGGUGCCAUAAUAAAAGAAAAUAAAAGAUUUCCUUUUUAAA